rnacentral:misc_RNA from 1 species
GAUGAAGAACGCAGCAAAAUGCGAUAAGUAGUGUGAAUUGCAGAAUUCAGUGAAUCAUCGAAUCUUUGAACGCACAUUGCGCCCGCUAGUAUUCUGGCGGGCAUGCCUGUUCGAGCGUCAUUUCAACCAUCAAGCCCUGUUUAGGCUUGUGUUGGGGCCCUGCGGUUGCCGCAGCCCCCUAAAUGCAGUGGCGGGCUCGUUGUCACUCCGAGCGCAGUAGCGUAUCUCGCUCUGGGCGUGGCGGCGGGUGCUAGCCGUGAAACACCCACUAAGGUUGACCUCGGAUCAGGUAGGAAUACCCGCUGAACUUAAGCAUAUCAAUAAGCGAGGA